UACGAAGGGGGCUAGCGUUGUUCGGAAUUACUGGGCGUAAAGCGCACGUAGGCGGACUACUAAGAGAGAUGUGAAAUCCCCGGGCUUAACCUGGGAACUGCGUUUCUAACUGGCAGGCUAGAGUGUGGCAGAGGGGGGUGGAAUUCCACGUGUAGCAGUGAAAUGCGUAGAGAUGUGGAGGAACACCGGUGGCGAAGGCGGCAUCCUGGACUACUACUGACGCUGAGGAGCGAAAGCCAGGGGAGCAAACGGG
rnacentral:rRNA from 1 species